rnacentral:rRNA from 1 species
GGAUUGAACGCUGGCGGCAGGCCUAACACAUGCAAGUCGAGCGGUAGAGAGGUGCUUGCACCUCUUGAGAGCGGCGGACGGGUGAGUAAUGCAUCGGAACGUGCCCAGUCGGUGGGGGAUAACGCAGCGAAAGCUGUGCUAAUACCGCAUACGAUCUAUGGAUGAAAGGCGGGGGACCGAAAGGCCUCGCGCGAGUUGGAGCGGCCGAUGUCAGAUUAGCUAGGUUGGUAGGGGUAAACGGCCCACCGAAGGCGACGAUCUGUAGUCGUGGUCUAGAGGAGGACGACCACGCCCACACGUAGGAAC